GAUGAAGAACGUAGCGAAAUGCGAUAAGUAAUGUGAAUUGCAGAAUUCAGUGAAUCAUCGAAUCUUUGAACGCACAUUGCGCCCCUUGGUAUUCCGAGGGGCAUGUCCGUUCGAGCGUCAUUAUACCCCUCAAGCCUAGCUUGGUGUUGGGGCCUGCUGUUACCGGCAGCCCUUAAAAUCAGUGGCGGUGCCAUCUGGCUCUAAGCGUAGUAAUACUUCUCGCUACAGGGUCCCGGUGGAUGCUUGCCAUCAACCCCUAAUUUUCUAUGGUUGACCUCGGAUCGGGUAGGGAUACCCGCUGAACUUAAGCAUAUCAAUAAGCGGAGGA
rnacentral:misc_RNA from 1 species